AGUAACCUGCCUUGGAGUGGGGAAUAACAGUUGGAAACAGCUGCUAAUACCGCAUAAUAUGUCUGUGUCGCAUGGCACUGGGCAUCAAAGAUUUAUCGCUCUGAGAUGGACUCGCGUCUGAUUAGCUAGUUGGCGGGGUAACGGCCCACCAAGGCGACGAUCAGUAGCCGGACUGAGAGGUUGGCCGGCCCACAUUGGGACUGAGACACGGCCCAGACUCCUACGGGAGGCAGCAG
rnacentral:rRNA from 1 species